GUGAAAUGUGAACAAAUGUUAGGCAUUUAAGAAGCUGUUUGACAUAUACAUGUUUCACUUUGGUACUUGCUGUACAGACUGCUGCCAUGCCGGCUGGCUAGGUCACUCUCCCAUCAUUAAAGGAAAUCAGAACAGGAACUCAAGCAGUUCUGGAACCUGGAGACUGGAGCUGAUGCAGAGGACAUGGAGGGACACUAAUUGGCUUGUGUCGUGUGGUUUCAUCAGCCUGCUGUCCUAUGGACUUCAGGACCACCAGCCCAAGCAUGGCAGAGCCACAACAUUAAUUCAGCUAUUUCUCUUUAAUCCCAUUAAUACUUCUAUUACUGGAAAUACAGGUAAGUACAUUUUCACAGUAUAAAUAUUUGCACAAGUAAUUCUAGACAGUAAAAUACAUACUGUAGGAAGGAUGAAGAAUAAAGCAAGCCUGCUGCCAAUAUAUUUUCAAGUUUAGAUUGUAUUUUGUGCUUUAUCCUUAAUUUGUGCUGGAGAAUAAUGUGAAUAAUGAAUAAACCAAGUUGGAAACAGUAAUUUAGAUAAGAAAAAUCUAUUAUGUAAUAAUAUGGAAAUGUCAUAAAAAACAUCUACAAUCAAUCUCUGAUGCAGUACAAUUGAAAAGUCCUAAUUAUUAUUUUACUACUUAUUUACUAACUAUUGACAACAACUGAGGAAAGCUAGGAGUUGAAGAUUAGUCUUUUUCUAGUAGAGCUCACCUCGUGGUGUCCAACUACCAAAAGUUUAGCCCUGAAAACAUACAUACAAGUUACACAAUACAAUCUGAGCAGGUUAUAUUUAGUAAGACAUAAGCAUACGCAUGUACAUAAUGCAUGUAAUAAUUACUAAUGAAUUAAAGGGCCAUGAGUUUAGGAGGUGUCUAUGAGAGGGUGUGGAGGGAGGUGAGGGAAGGGAGAAGUGUUUAAAUUAUAAUACCAAAAGGAAAAGACCAAGCAAACAGAAUCACUUGCCAGUUACACCCCUGUGUUGGGAUAUUUUAAUAGCUCCUGUAACUGCUGAAUGCCACAUGACCUGCUAUUACAAACCCUAGUUUGAAAGCACUAUGGAAAUUCCUUCAGAUUGCACUGUAGCUUACAAUUGUCUAUACAUAGGUAGAAGGUAAUUAUCAUACCAUGUAUUUGUGGAAAGGAAAGAAGGCAAAAAUUAUGUUGAAAGAGAAAAUGGCACCACAGAAAAUUCAAAUGAUUGGUUAUAAGUAAUAAUAUCUACAACAAUAUGCUCCCAGCCUCCGCUCACUAUAUAAUUUUAUAUUUAUUGAUAUCAUUUGUAUAUAUUUUUAAGAUACAAACAAUAAUUAUGUUAUUUAUUGUUAAGCACUUAGCAGAAACAAUUGCUUAAUUUAAAAUUUCUUACAUUAUUUCUACAAGGGCUAUUUUUAACAGUGAGGGAAAUAUCCAUAUUAAACUAUAUGUAAAUAUAGUUGACACACACUUAACUGUUAUUUCUGCAGAUAUUUUAUGGUGUUUGCUUCUGUCUGUGGGCAUAAACUCCCCAAUGGAUGUCACUGCAGAUGCCAGAGACUUCAGGUCUGCAGCUGGAUAAUAGAUGGUUGUGACAUCAUUACAAAAUGCUGUGAAGGCCCCCAUAACCAUGGAGACAUGUCUCUAACACUUCAUAUCGUUUAUAAGAAAGUGAGAUUUUCAAGAAAUUAUGCUAAAGUAACAAUAUCUAAGAGUUUUUAGUUUAAGAUCAUAUUAAUCAUAUUCAUUUAGAAAAUAUUUCAUUUAAAAUAU
ensembl:lncRNA